GGGGAUGUUUUGGUUUUGACAGCAUCAGACAUUGGAUGGUAAGCACGCCGGGCGUGGGAGGUUUGCCCGUUAAUCUCAGCCUUCGAACAAUUAGUUGGCAACAACUCAUACGCACUCGCUGCGUAGUCUGCUAAGCACACUACCUUAAUCCGCGGGGUCAAGGCUACCUCGCCGACGAGUAUCCCUCCAGCCUUUAGGCCGGUUAUGGCUGGAACCCGGGGUAUCAUCCAAACCGGAUGCACGGAGCGACUCCUUUAAACUCCGCCAAGACUUAAAGGAUAAGCGCACGAUGGCCUGUCAUCCGGCAGCCGUGCGUCGAAAACCAAAGGACGACUAAGCGUGUAGAAAGCCGCCUGGUGCGGUGUUUGGACGGCGGUUCGAGUCCGCCCAUCUCCACAA
rnacentral:tmRNA from 1 species